CAAUUAGUGCAUGUUUGGUUAAAAGUAAAGCACCGAAAGUGGUAUUUUUGAAAAUGACGUCUCAUCGGUUAUUAGGUUUGCGAAAGUGAGUGUAAAGUCACUUUACAAAAGUGGACAAAUAAAAUAAAUUAUAACUAAAUCUCAUUUUUUUGACGUCGGUUCAAAAAAUUCGGAAGUUAUUGAAAGUGGAGAGCUUAGCUAAGAGGUUAUAUAUAUUUGAU
rnacentral:lncRNA from 1 species